AACUCCAAACCCCAAACUCCAAAUCCCAAACCCCAAACUCCAAACCCUAAACCCUAAACCCAAACCCUAAACCCUAAACGAACCUAAACCCUAAAACCUAAACCCUAAACCCUAAAAUCCUAAAUCCUAAACUCUAAAAACCCUAAACCCUGAACCCUAAACCCUAAACCCUAAACCCUAAACCCUAAACCCUAAACCCUAAACCCUAAACCCUAAAUCUAAACCCUAAACCCUAAACCCUAAACCCUAAACCCUAAAACCCUAAACCCUAAAACUUAAAACCCAAAACCCUAAAACCCUAAACCCUAAAACCCUAAACCCUAAGUCCGAAACCCUAAACCCUAAAACCCUAAACCUAAAACCCCAAACCCUAAAUCCGAAACCCUGUACCCC
rnacentral:lncRNA from 1 species